AGUGGAUGGGGAGCAACCUAGUUGUGCGUGUGUAAAGGUAGUGCCAAGAAAAGCGAUGAUCAUGUUGAAAAUCAAUUCCCGGUACCCGAAACCGACACAGGUGGGCAAGUAGAGAAUACUAAGGGGCGCGAGGUAACUCUCUCCAAGGAACUCGGCAAAAUGACCCCGUAACUUAGGGAGAAGGGGUGCCACCGAGAGGUGGUCGCAGUGAAGAGGCCCAGGCGACUGUUUAGCAAAAACAUAGGUCUCUGCAAACUCGAAAGAGGAGGUAUAGGGGCUGACGCCUGCCCAGUGCCGGAAGGUUAAAGAAGUUGGUCAGUUUUAGGAUGAAGCUAGCGACUGAAGCCCCGGUGAACGGCGGCCGUAACUAUAACGGUCCUAAGGUAGCGAAAUUCCUUGUCGGGUAAGUUCCGACCCGCACGAAAGGCGUAACGAUCUGGGCGCUGUCUCGGAGAGAGGCUCGGCGAAAUAGGAUUGUCUGUGAAGAUACGGACUACCUGCAUUUGGACAGAAAGACCCUAUGAAGCUUUACUAUAGCUUGGAAUUGUGUUCGGGCUUCCUGUGCGCAGGAUAGGUGGGAGGCGAAGAAGGUAUUCUUGUGGGGAUACUGGAGCCAACGGUGAGAUACCACUCUCAGGAGGCUAGAAUUCUAACUUAAUUAAGGACAGUUUCAGGUGGGUAGUUUGACUGGGGCGGUCGCCUCCAAAAAGGUAACGGAGGCGUACAAAGGUUCCCUCAGACUGGUUGGAAAUCAGUCGCAGAGUGCAAAGGCAGAAGGGAGCUUGACUGCGAGAAGUACAGUUCGAGCAGGGUGGAAACACGGUCUUAGUGAUCCGACGGUGCUGUGUGGAAGGGCCGUCGUUCAACGGAUAAAAGUUACUCUAGGAUAACAGGCUGAUCUCCCCCAAGAGUUCACAUCGACGGGGAGGUUUGGCACCUCGAUGUCGGCUCAUCGCAACCUGGGGCGGAAGUACGUCCCAAGGGUUGGGCUGUUCGCCCAUUAAAGCGGUACGUGAGCUGGGUUCAGAACGUCGUGAGACAGUUCGGUCCAUAUCCGAUGUAGGCGUGAGAAUAUUGAGAGGAGCCUUCCUUAGUACGAGAGGACCGGGAAGGACGCACCGCUGGUGUACCUGUUAUGAUGCCAAUUGUAAACGCAGGGUAGCCAAGUGCGGAGAGGAUAACCGCUGAAAGCAUCUAAGUGGGAAGCCCACCUCAAGAUGAGUAUUCUGGUGUAAGGUCACGGGAAGACGACCCGUAAAUAGGCACGAGGUGGAAGUGCAGAGAUGUAUGAAGCCGAAGUGUACUAAUAGACCGUCGGCUUGAC
rnacentral:rRNA from 1 species